CAGUCGCCGCGGUAAUACGGAGGGAGCUAGCGUUGUUCGGAAUUACUGGGCGUAAAGCGCGCGUAGGCGGUUACUCAAGUCAGAGGUGAAAGCCCGGGGCUCAACCCCGGAACUGCCUUUGAAACUAGGUGACUAGAAUCUUGGAGAGGUCAGUGGAAUUCCGAGUGUAGAGGUGAAGUUCGUAGAUAUUCGGAAGAACACCAGUGGCGAAGGCGACUGACUGGACAAGUAUUGACGCUGAGGUGCGAAAGCGUGGGGAGCAAACAGGAUUAGAUACCCCAGUAGUCCCUGUCUCUUAUAC
rnacentral:rRNA from 1 species